CAGUCGCCGCGGGAAUACAGAGGGUGCGAGCGUUAAUUGGAUUUACUGGGCGUAAAGCGUGCGUAGGCGGCUUCUUAAGUCGGAUGUGAAAUCCCUGAGCUUAACUUAGGAAUUGCAUUCGAUACUGGGAAGCUAGAGUAUGGGAGAGGAUGGUAGAAUUCCAGGUGUAGCGGUGAAAUGCGUAGAGAUCUGGAGGAAUACCGAUGGCGAAGGCAGCCAUCUGGCCUAAUACUGACGCUGAGGUACGAAAGCAUGGGGAGCAAACAGGAUUAGAUACCCCAGUAGUCCCUGUCUCUUAUAC
rnacentral:rRNA from 1 species